GAUUAUUUAAAAAUUAAUAAAUUUUUCUGGUGAAUUUGAAUUUUAUUAAAAUUAAUUAAAUUAAAAUAGAAAUUAAAAUUAUUUAUUUAAAUUUUUAUUAAAAUAAAUAAAUAUUAAAAAUAAAAAAUAAUGAAAAAUAAAAUUUUAAUUAUAUCUAUUUUUAGCUAGCUUACAAGUUAACUUAUAAAAAUUAUUAAAUUUUCAAUAAAAAAUAAAUUAUAUAAAAAUAAGUAAAAAAUUUAAUAUAGUCUUAUAUUUAACUUAAAAUUUAAGAACUAAAAAUUAUAAUUGACUGUUUUUUAAAAACAUUUUUUUAUAUAUUUAAAAUAUUUCUGCUCAAUGUUUUUUAUAAAUAGCAGUUUUAGCGUGAUUACUUAAAAGUAGCAAAAUCCAUAGAUCUUUAAUAGAGUUCUUGACUGAAAGAAAUAACUAUUAUAAUUUUUUUUAAAAUUUAUUUAUUGAAAUUAAAUUAAUUUUGAAAAUAAAAUUAUAAAAUUUAUUACGAGAAGACCCUAAGAUUUAGUUAAAAUUAAUAAAAAUUUAAAUUGGGUUUUUAAAUAAAAAAAUUUUAUAAAUUUUUAAUAUAUUACAAAUAAAUACCUUAGGGAUAACAGCUUAAAAUCUUAUUUAAUAAAUAAGUAAUAUGACCUCGAUGUUGACUUAAAUAAAGAAAUUUAAAAAAUUUUUAAUUUAAACUGUUCGUUUCUAAUAAUUUGUGAGCUGAGUUUAAAACACUGAAAAGUAGUUUGGUUUCUAUAAAAAUAAAAAUAAUAGUAAUUUUUUAGUACGAAAGGACUUAAAAUACUUUAAUUUAAACAUUUUUUAAAUUGAAAAUUUAA
rnacentral:rRNA from 1 species